rnacentral:misc_RNA from 1 species
GAUGAAGAACGUAGCGAAAUGCAAUAAGUAGUGUGAAUUGCAGAAUUCAGUGAAUCAUCGAAUCUUUGAACGCACAUUGCGCCCUUUGGUAUUCCAAAGGGCAUGCCUGUUCGAGCGUCAUUUGUACCCUCAAGCUUUGCUUGGUGUUGAGCGUCUUGUCUCUAGCUUUGCUGGAGACUCGCCUUAAAGUAAUUGGCAGCCGGCCUACUGGUUUCGGAGCGCAGCACAAGUCGCACUCUCUAUCAGCAAAGGUCUAGCAUCCAUUAAGCCUUUUUUUUCAACUUUUGACCUCGGAUCAGGUAGGGAUACCCGCUGAACUUAAGCAUAUCAAUAAGCGGAGGA